rnacentral:tRNA from 1 species
AAAGAAUUAGUUAAUCCAUAACCUUAAUAUGUCAUAUUAAAAUUACUAAUAUAGAUUUAGUAUUCUUUA